rnacentral:rRNA from 1 species
GACGAACGCUGACAGAAUGCUUAACACAUGCAAGUCAACUUGAAUUUGGGUUUUUAACUUGGGUUUGGGUGGCGGACGGGUGAGUAACGCGUAAAGAACUUGCCUCACAGCUUGUGACAACAUUUGGAAACGAAUGCUAAUACCUAAUAUUAUGAUAAUAGGGCAUCCUAUAAUUAUGAAAGCUAUAGGCGCUGUGAGAGAGCUUUGCGUCCCAUUAGCUAGUUGGAGAGGUAACGGCUCACCAAGGCGAUGAUGGGUAGCCGGCCUGAGAGGGUGAUCGGCCACAAGGGAACGGAGACACGGCCCUUACUCCUACGGGAGGCAGCAGGGGGAAAUAUGGGACAAUGGACCAAGAGUCUGAUCCAGAAAUUCUGUGUGCACGAUGAAGUUUUGCGGAAUGUAAAGUGCUUUCAGUUGGGAAGAAAGAAAUGACGGUACCAACAGAAGAAGUGACGGCUAAAUACGUG